GGAGAGGGUAUAGCUCAGUGGUAGAGUGUGUGCUUAGCAUGCACAAGGUCCUGGGUUCAGUCCCCAGUACCUCCA
rnacentral:tRNA from 1 species